AUGACGGGUUCUAACGAGUUCAAGCUGAACCAGCCGCCCGAAGAUGACAUCUCCUCGGUCAGGUUCAGCCCCAACACCUCCCACUUCCUGCUGGUCUCCUCCUGGGACACGUCCUUGCGCCUCUACGACGUGCCGGCCAACUCCCUGCGGCUCAAGUAGCAGCACACCGGCGCGGCCCUGGACUGCGCCGUCUGCAAUCCAACGCAUGCUUGGAGUGGAGGAUUAGAUCAUCAGGUGAAAAUGCAUGAUUUCAACGCCGAUCAAGAAAAUCUUGUUGGAACUCAGGAUGCUCCUAUCCGAUGUGUUGAAUACUGUCUGGAAGUGAAUGUGAUGGUUACUGGAAGUUGGGAUCAAAGAGUUAAACUGUGGGAUCCCAGAACUCCUUGUAAUGCUGGGACCUCCUCGCAGCCUGAAAAACUGUACACCCUCUCGGUGUCUGGAGACCGACUGAUAGUGGGAACAGCGGGCCGCAGGGUGUUGGUGUGGGACUUGCGGAGCAUGGGCUACGGCGGCAGCGCAGGGAGUCCAGCCUGAAGUACCAGACUCGCUGCAUUCGAGCUUUUCCGAACAAGCCGGACUAUAUAUUAAGCUCCAUUGAAGGCCGAGUGGAGUUGAGUACUUGGAUCCAAGUCCUGAGGUACAGAAGAAGUAUGCCUUCAUAUGUCACAGGCUAAAAGAAAAUAAUAUUGAGCAGAUUUACCCAGUCAAUGCUAUUUCCUUUCACAACAUCCGCAAUACAUUUGCCACAGGUGGUUCUGAUGGAUUUGUAAAUAUCUGGGAUCCAUUUAACAAGAAGCGACUGUGCCAAUUCCAUCGGUACCCCACCAGCAUCGCAUCACUUGCUUUCAGUAAUGAUGGGACUACACUUGCAAUAGCAUCAUCACAUAUGUAUGAAAUGGAUGACACAGAACAUCCUGAAGAUGGUAUCUUCAUUCGCCAAGUGACAGAUGCAGAAACAAAACCCAAGUCACCAUGUACUUGACAAGAUUUCAUUUACUUAGGGCCAUGUUGAUGAUGAUAAAACAAUUCGUAC